GACCUAAACCAGCAAUGGCAUGGUCUAAAAUCCAUUUGACACAACAAGCUCGUCGCAGAGCACUGUGUCAAAUGGUCAUAGUCCGAAAGGAUUGUGGGUGGCUUCGGCUAUC
rnacentral:sRNA from 1 species